rnacentral:lncRNA from 1 species
UUUUUUUAUGAUGGCUACUAUAUAUAUUACCAUCAAAAGCACAAUGGCAAGUCGUAACUAAGGAGUACGCCGCCAUCUUGACUUUCUAAAAACCCUAAAUGUCAGAUAAAUACAACGGAAUCUUAAAUAAAAUAGCACCUACCUCAAAAACUUCAUUUUAAUUAAAUGUUAUUCGAAUUUGAAGCGUACACGUAACGAAAUAAUCUUCCCUUGAAAAUUUCUAUUCGUAUGACGUCGUGUUUUGCCAUGACGUAAAUUCGCCAAAUCCUUCAUGAAAUUUCGCGGAAUUUUAUUAAAUUUUAUUUUUAUACAUUUUCGAAGCUUAGUGAAUUAAAUUUAUUUAUUUUUUGUUGUUGUUAUAUAUGCACUAGAAUAGUCACAACUGUUAUGCAAUUGUUUUUAAAUCUCAAAUUGCUGAAAAUCCUGGGAUCACUGCAAGCUUGUGUAUCG